GAAGAGUUUGAUCAUGGCUCAGGAUGAACGCUAGCUAUAGGCUUAACACAUGCAAGUCGAGGGGCAGCGAAUAGAUAGCUUGCUAUUUAUGUCGGCGACCGGCGCACGGGUGAGUAACGCGUAUCCAACCUACCCAUAACUAAGGGAUAACCCAGCGAAAGUUGGACUAAUACCUUAUGUAUUCGUUUGAUCUCAUGAGAUUACGAAUAAAGAUUUAUCGGUUAUGGAUGGGGAUGCGUCUGAUUAGCUUGUUGGCGGGGUAACGGCCCACCAAGGCAACGAUCAGUAGGGGUUCUGAGAGGAAGGUCCCCCACAUUGGAACUGAGACACGGUCCAAACUCCUACGGGAGGCAGCAGUGAGGAAUAUUGGUCAAUGGACGCAAGUCUGAACCAGCCAAGUAGCGUGCAGGAUGACGGCCCUAUGGGUUGUAAACUGCUUUUAUAUGGGGAUAAAGUGGGGAACGUGUUCCCUUUUGCAGGUACCAUAUGAAUAAGGACCGGCUAAUUCCGUGCCAGCAGCCGCGGUAAUAC
rnacentral:rRNA from 1 species